GAUGAACGCUGGCUGUGUGGAUAAGGCAUGCAAGUCGAAUGGGUUUAGACCCAUGGCGAACGAGGUAGUAACACGUAGGAUUACUUGCCCUUGAGUCAAGGAUACACUGGAGAAAUCCAGAAUAAUACUUGAUAGUCUCUUCGGAGUAAAGAUUUAUCGCUCAAGGAUAGGCCUGCGGGGUAUCAGCUUGUUGGUAGUGUAAUGGACUACCAAGGCUAUGACGCCUAGGGGAGGUGAGAGCCUGGCCCCCACCGAUGGAACUGAGACACGGUCCAUACUCCUACGGGAGGCCGCAGUCGAGAAUCUUCCACAAUGGACGAAAGUCUGAUGGAGCGACACAGCGUGGUCGACGAAGCGCUUCGGCGUGUAAAGACCUUUUAUAAGUGAAGAAGCUUAUUGACAUUAGCUUAUGAAUAAGGGGCUGCUAAUCACG
rnacentral:rRNA from 1 species